AACGAACGCUGGCGGCAUGCCUAACACAUGCAAGUCGAACGAGAUCUUCGGGUCUAGUGGCGCACGGGUGCGUAACGCGUGGGAAUCUGCCCUUUGGUUCGGAAUAACAGUUGGAAACGACUGCUAAUACCGGAUGAUGACGAAAGUCCAAAGAUUUAUCGCCAGAGGAUGAGCCCGCGUAGGAUUAGCUAGUUGGUGUGGUAAAGGCGCACCAAGGCGACGAUCCUUAGCUGGUCUGAGAGGAUGAUCAGCCACACUGGGACUGAGACACGGGCCAGACUCCUACGGGGGGCAGCAGUGGGGAAUAUUGGACGAUGGGCGAAAGCCUGUUCCAGCAAUGCCGCGUGAGUGAUGAGGGCCUUAGGGUUGUAAAGCUCUUUUACCCGGGAUGAUAAUGACAGUACCGGGAGAAUAAGCUCCGGCUAACUCCGUGCCAGCCGCCGCAGUAA
rnacentral:rRNA from 1 species